rnacentral:rRNA from 1 species
GACGAACGCUGGCGGCGUGCUUAACACAUGCAAGUCGAACGGAAAGGCCCUGCUUUUGUGGGGUGCUCGAGUGGCGAACGGGUGAGUAACACGUGAGUAACCUGCCCUUGACUUUGGGAUAACUUCAGGAAACUGGGGCUAAUACCGGAUAGGAGCUCCUGCUGCAUGGUGGGGGUUGGAAAGUUUCGGCGGUUGGGGAUGGACUCGCGGCUUAUCAGCUUGUUGGUGGGGUAGUGGCUUACCAAGGCUUUGACGGGUAGCCGGCCUGAGAGGGUGACCGGCCACAUUGGGACUGAGAUACGGCACAGACUCCUACGGGAGGCGGCAGUGGAGAAUAUUGCACAAUGGGCGGAAGCCUGAUGCAGCAACGCCGCGUGCGGGAUGACGGCCUUCGGGUUGUAAACCGCUUUCGCCUGUGACGAAGCGUGAGUGACGGGAAUGGGUAAAGAAGCACCGGCUAACUACG